GUGAUUGGGGUGAAGUCGUAACAAGGUAGCCGUACGAGAACGUGCGGCUGGAUCACCUCCUUUUUAAGGAGUAAACAUGCGUUUUAAGUAAACUUAAAAUGAGAUGUUAAUGGUCGAUUCUUGGAUUGUAUAGUGUUUGAAUCGAAUUCAGCGGGGCGUUUAUUUGUGUGUUAUUGAAGCUAUUUUAUGCGUCGGUGACUAUAUCUUAAAGGGCGUGAGUUGUAUAAACGGGCCUAUAGCUCAGUUAGUCAGAGCGCACCCCUGAUAAGGGUGAGGUCUGUGGUGCAACUCCACAUAGGCCCACUAACUGAUGCGUAGUGUCAAUACAAGGCGGUGUGCGGCAGGUUGCAGAAGAGGGGGGGGGGAUAUAGCUCAGCUGGGAGAGCGCCUGCUUUGCAAGCAGGAGGUCGUCGGUUCAAAUCCGUCUAUCUCCAUAAAAGAUUAUUUCAGAUAUUAGUAUCUGUGAAUAUACAAUAAAUUGCUAAGUAUUUUGUGUUCUGAUGCUUUUGCAUGGUGGUAAAAUGAUAAAAAAUGUUUUUUUCUUUUUUUUGUCAUUCUCCGGAUAUCUUAACCGGCAAUCUUAUUAAUUGAAGUAAGCCGUGCAAAGGAAUCAUAAAUGCAAAGGAUUAAGCAAUAAGCUCAUUGAAAACUUAAUAGUUGUAAAGGUAAAUCAAGCGUCUUCAAAUUAAUUUUUGAAAAUAGAAGUAGAAGUUGUAAAGUCAUAUUUAAGGUUUUGGAAGAAACGGAUUAGAUAAUGUGACCAAGCUAAUAA
rnacentral:misc_RNA from 1 species